AUGCACACCAAAAUACUUAACAUGAUUUUAGACAAUGCUGUGCUAAUUGUAUAAACUAUCUUCUGUAACAUUUUUUGGACUCCCUUUUUUUAUUCCCCCUCCCUUGCUUGCUAUCUAUCUGUUUUGUCUUCCUCUUCUCCUCCCCCAUACCUUUCUUGUCCUGUACCUCACUCUGGUCUCUUUUUUGACAAAUGUCUUCCCACUCACUGUACUCAUGGAUUGUGUAAACUGAAGAAGCUAUUGCUGCAGGGUGCCUCCAAAGGGUGUGUCCCCUCCCCAAAGUGGCUUGUCCCACCCCCAUUUCUGUUUCAGAAAUCUAAUAUGUGGGGCACUGCUUGUCCAGCUGUAAAUGCACUUUGCCCCUUCUGUGCCUCAGGGGACCUCAGGUUUUUUUCUGGUCCCACCACUGUAUUGCAAUAAACUAUGAAUAGAAAAACAAAACAAAACAAAACCCCAAACUGGGAAAUAACUAUUCCCCACUGCAGCAAGGCUUCUGGGCAGGAUGAGUCCAACCUGGCUAAACUACUUUUCCAUGAUCACUGAGCAAAUUGAAUGUUCAGAUAUGGAAGGAGAAGCAGCUUUUAGAUAGAUUAACUUGCCCAAAUUAGUGUAUAAUUCUUUUUUUUUUAAGUCUACCUUGGGUACAAGAUUCUACGAAGUAGAAAUUAAAAUGAGGACCUUAACAGUGUGCAUAACACACAAGGAAGAUGCAAUAGGAAGUUACUAGUUUUUUCCAAUGCAAAUGCUUACUAGCAAUAAUCAAAAUGCACGUUUGCUCUUAUUACAGUAAUCUAUACAAUUCACCAUAUCUGUCAAACAUGUCUAGUGCUAAAAUAUUGAUUUUCCUUCUCCACAAGAUACACAGACACACCACUACGGCAGCAUAAUCUCUACACAGACUUGGAAAACUUCAUCCUGUGCUGAUGUUCUGAAUGAAAAACCCAAAUGAUGUAGUUGCUCUAGGUUAAUCAGGAUGCCAGGGAGAUAAAUGGAAACUCUCAGCCUUUCUUUGGCGAAGCAUGUGACAACUUUGUAUCUCCAAAGAAAAAAGGGUGUGUGUUAAAGUAUAAAUGGGGAACUUAUCACCGAGGGAUCAAUUGAAAUGAAUUAUAUGGAAAAAACACAGCAAAUUCUUAUAGCUCUUGUCUGGGAUGACUGAUGUUUGAGUCUGGCACUCAGCCAUAGAAGCAGUCCAAGUAUCAGAGAGGGAAGAGAGAGUGAUCGCCCUAAUUUCUUCCACUGCCAAAGCAGCAGAAAAGAAAGGAAGUUGAGGUUGGAAAAAUGCUUGAUAUUCUUUGGAAAGAAAUACUUAAGCUCAGCAAAUAUCAGGCUCAGAUAAUGAAACCCUUAAAAUGUUUCUACUAUGAAAGACCUCUGUGAAAAAAACAAUUCUUUUGAAGAGGAUUUCUCCCACUUCAUCCAUUUUCACUUUUCUAGUGUUUGUAGGAAUAUUUUCUUUUGUAGCCCUUGUAAUUCUGGAGUCGUUGAUCCAAGCCAGCGGACCAUUACUUUUAAAAACAAUUGUUCAGUUGGUGUUUUUAACCCACUCUUCGUAUAUAAAAGCAGUUCAAGUAGCACAAAUGAAACUUGUGAUCAAAUAUGUAGUGUAAAUGUAAUGCUGAAGUCCGACAGAAAUUAUUGGCCAGGAUCCAAAGAAUCAUGUAGCCAGUUUAAUCUGCCCCAAAGGCUUGGACUUCUUUUUUCAAUGGAACAUCUUUCUUCCACUCAUACUACUUUUGUAACAGUAGUUUACAACAUAAGGUAGUUUCUGUUGUAGCGAUGGUAGUUAAAGGUGUCAGGAGAGCCUUUCUAUGGAGAGUUCCAUAGACUGGGUGCUUCCACCAAAAAAACAUACUCCUGGUGGUCCUCCUGAAGAAAAAGCAUCAUCCAUCACCCAGAUGAUGGGCAGCAAUACAGCAGUGAUGGGCAGAUUUAUAUAGCUCUAGGCAUCAGGGGCGUAACAAGGCUAGAGUGGGCCCAGAGACAAAAUUUUAAAAUGGGCCCCUCGCUGACACACACACACACACACACACACACACACACACACACACACACACACUUCACAAUAUAUAGUCAUGUGACUAGCUUCUGGGGGGGGCUCGAGGUGUGGGGGCCCCCAGACAGCCGCCUCCCCUUGCCUAAUAGUAGUUACGCCCCUGCUAGGCAUUCCUUUGUGAUAUGUCAUCGUAGUUUGGAAGAAAAAUGUCAAAUUUUACUGGGCAAUCCCUAGCUCUUCUGUAUGCCUGAAGCAGUUAUGAAGCUCAGCCAUUAUUUUUCUCUUUGGCACAG